GACGAACGCUGGCGGCGUGCCUAAUACAUGCAAGUAGAACGCUGAAGGAGGAGCUUGCUUCUCUGGAUGAGUUGCGAACGGGUGAGUAACGCGUAGGUAACCUGCCUGGUAGCGGGGGAUAACUAUUGGAAACGAUAGCUAAUACCGCAUAAGAGUAGAUGUCGCAUGACAUUUGCUUAAAGGGUGCAAUUGCAUCACUACCAGAUGGACCUGCGUUGUAUUGGCUAGUUGGUGAGGUAACGGCUCACCAAGGCAACGAUACAUAGCCGACCUGAGAGGGUGAUCGGCCACACUGGGACUGAGACACGGCCCAGACUCCUACGGGAGGCAGCAGUAGGGAAUCUUCGGCAAUGGACGGAAGUCUGACCGAGCAACGCCGCGUGAGUGAAGAAGGUUUUCGGAUCGUAAAGCUCUGUUGUAAGAGAAGAACGAGUGUGAGAGUGGAAAGUUCACACUGUGACGGUAUCUUACCAGAAAGGGACGGCUAACUACGUG
rnacentral:rRNA from 1 species